rnacentral:rRNA from 1 species
UACGUAGGGGGCAAGCGUUGUCCGGAUUUAUUGGGCGUAAAGAGUUCGUAGGUGGUUCGUUAAGUCUGAUGUUAAAGACUGGGGCUCAACCCUGGAAGUGCAUUGGAUACUGGCGGACUUGAGUGUGGUAGAGGCAAUCGGAAUUCCAGGUGUAGCGGUGAAAUGCGUAGAUAUCUGGAAGAACACCUGCGGCGAAGGCGGGUAGCUGGGCCGACACUGACGCUGAUGCGCGAAAGCCAGGGGAGCGAACGGG